rnacentral:rRNA from 1 species
CAGUAAACACGGGUGGGAGGUUGGGCUCGCUAGGAACCCUACACUCGGUAAUGAUCCUUCCGUAGGUGAACCUGCGGAAGGAUCAUUACCGAGUGUAGGGUUCCUAGCGAGCCCAACCUCCCACCCGUGUUUACUGUAACCUUAGUUGCUUCGGCGGGCCCGCCUUUAAGGCCGCCGGGGGGCAUCAGCCCCCGGGCCCGCGCCCGCCGGAGACACCACGAACUCUGUCUGAUCUAGUGAAGUCUGAGUUGAUUGUAUCGCAAUCAGGKUAAAACUUUCAACAAUGGAUCUCUUGGUUCCGGCAUCGAUGAAGAACGCAGCGAAAUGCGAUAACUAGUGUGAAUUGCAGAAUUCCGUGAAUCAUCGAGUCUUUGAACGCACAUUGCGCCCCCUGGUAUUCCGGGGGGCAUGCCUGUCCGAGCGUCAUUGCUGCCCAUCAAGCACGGCKUGUGUGUUGGGUCKUCGUCCCCUCUUCGGGGGGGACGGGCCCCAAAGGCAGCGGCGGCACCGCGUCCGAUCCUCGAGCGUAUGGGGCUUUGUCACCCGCUUUGUUUUCCCGGCCGGCGCUUGCCGAACGCAAAA